CGGCGAGUGAGCGGCAACAGCUCAAAUUUGAAAUCUGGCUCUUUCAGAGUCCGAGUUGUAAUUUGCAGAGGGCGCUUUGGCUUUGGCAGCGGUCCAAGUUCCUUGGAACAGGACGUCACAGAGGGUGAGAAUCCCGUACGUGGUCGCUAGCUAUUGCCGUGUAAAGCCCCUUCGACGAGUCGAGUUGUUUGGGAAUGCAGCUCUAAAUGGGAGGUAAAUUUCUUCUAAAGCUAAAUAUUGGCCAGAGACCGAUAGCGCACAAGUAGAGUGAUCGAAAGAUGAAAAGAACUUUGAAAAGAGAGUUAAACAGUACGUGAAAUUGCCAAAAGGGAAGGGUAGGAGGUCAGAGAUGCGUCUUGGGAUUCAGCCUUGCUUUUGCAUGGUGUUUUUCCCAAGUUGCAGGCCAACGUCGGUUUUGGGCACUGGAGAAGGGUAGGAGGAACGUGGCACCUCUCGGGGUGUGUUAUAGCCUCCUACUGGAUACAGCGACCGAGACCGAGGAACGCAGCGUACUCGUAAGAGCGGGCCUUUUGGCACCUUUACGCUUAGGGCGUUGGCAUAAUGGCCCUCUACCACCCGUCUUGA
rnacentral:rRNA from 1 species